GAGGGUAUAGCUCAGAAGUAGAGUGUGUGCUUAGCAUGCACGAGGUCCUGGGUUCAAUCCCCAGUACCUCCA
rfam:Camelus ferus unplaced genomic scaffold scaffold434, whole genome shotgun sequence.